UUGUCAAACUGCCCUCUACGGUCACCCGGAAAGUAGGAGGCUUUUUCUGCAGAGGGGAAAAAAAUCAAAAAGAGCCGUUCCAUCCCCCCUCCAAGGACUGGGUUUGAAUUGCUUUUCAUCUGCAGUGGCUGUGAUUCAGCGUCCCUCUUAGCAGCAGGCAAUGACAGAGGCAGGAGAGGGGAAAAAAAAAAAGAAAGAAAGAAAAAACACAGCAAAUGAAUCAAACGGACGUGAGUAACAAAAGUUUAGAAAGAGCUGGGCUCGUAUUCAGAAAAAACGCCUCAUCCCCCCGCCCCGCUGCACUCCCAACCCCUUUAAAAAUAGCAGAUAAUCAAGAAAGGAAACGGGUGCUUUCAUAUGGAAAUACAGAUGUCAGGUAGCAGGCAAGAGUGUGGUUAUCGUUGGACCAGGAUUCAGGAUCUGACUGAGUAGCUGACUCUUAAUCCAGUUUGUGUUGAUCACCAGGAGGAUCUGGACCUCAGUAUUACCACAUCUAGAGCUAUAAUCACAUCCCUGUUAAGCCUUCCUGAGAUCACACCAAAUGUCCUUGAUGGGAAUUGUAAACAACCCUUACUUCUGGUUUCUAAUGAUAUUCCAGGAAAGGAGCCUAACUAGAGUCAGUGAUAUGCCAACUCCACCUUUGCCUUCCACCAUGUUUGGAAGCUCCCUGAGGCCUCACCAGGAGCAGAUGCUCGUCCCAUGCUUCCUAUAAGCCUGCAGAACUGUGAGCCAUAAUAAACUGUGAAUUAUAAAUUGCCUUUAUAGCAAUGCAAAUGGACCAGUACAGAUGGGAUGCUGGGAAGACAGUUGUUUCCACCUUCAGUAAAGUCCGUGGAACACAGUUGUGACUAUAUUCUAGGCCAGCCAAGAUGCUUGUACUCAGAAAGGAGUGGUCUCAGGACCAUAAGAAAGUGAAAAAAUAAAAAUAAGAAAAUAAAGAAGGGAUUGUCAAUGAAUCAGAAUUCAUCAAGGUCAAAGUCUUAGGAAAUUCCUUCAUGAGGAAGUCUAGGGGGGCUAUGGAAAUGAAAUUUUUAAACAAAUAGGUAUGUGGUGCUGGCAGGAAUAAAUUAUGGACUUAUGAAUAUAACAUAAGAUUCUUUAUUACCUGGUCUCACCCGUCUUUCCACCUCUGCCCCCCUUCUUGCCCGACUCUGUGUAUCACCCAUAAUAAACUACUUACAGCUUCCUAGUGUUAAAUUUACCCUAAAGCUGCCUCCUUCAAUAUUUUAAGUUUAACCUAAAGGUUCUUCAUACAUAGUGAACUAUAACCCAAUGAUUAAACAGAUUGUAACCUACUCUUGUACCAGUCACCAAGUUUCAGCCAAUCAGAGGUGGCCAACUGUUCAAACCAUGCUCAAAUAAGGGAAAUGUCAUGGUGUAACUAAUCCAGCUGUUUCUAUACCUUACUUCUGUUUUCUUAGGUCACUUUCCUUUUUUGUCCAUAAAUUCUCUCCAACCACUCAGCAGCACUGGAGUCACUCCAAAGCUAUCCUGGUUCAGGGGUCUGUCUGAUUCACAAGUCAUUCUUUGUUCAAUUGAGCUCUGCUAAAUUUAAUUUGUCUGAAGUUUUUCUUUUAACAGAUGGUGUCAGAAAUGGACCCCAAAGUAGAGCUCCCAGUGAUCCCCCAGGAGCACUGAGUGACCACAAGGGGUACCUGCUGGGCCCGUCCUCUCGCAGUGUCCACUGCUCUCUUACAGCAACUGGAGAUUGUGGCUGCAUUCUCUCUCAGAUUCUGAAGCUCCAUACAUUGCCGUUUUCAGCUGUUCAAGCUUGCUUGAGCAAAUUUUUGAUCUUAGCUGAGUUUGGAAGUCGAUAGACAUUGGACUGGGUCCAGGAUUUGAUUGGAUCUGAUAAUUAACUGGCUUGGAUCCAGUUAGAUGCCUCGGUUAUCUGACUGGGUCAGAUAGAAACCGCCAGUAAAUAUUUUAAUAACAAUACUGCAGGGGUAUGAACUCUGGCUUUAAGAAACUCACAAGGAAUUUUAUGUUCUAUACCCUUUGUUUCUUUUUCUUGUGUGCUUCGGUCAGGAAAAAUCAUUAGUCAAGUUAAUCAAGGGGAUCUGAGAGCCAAAUACAAGAUUCAACGUAAAAAUGGAAUCCUUGGGCUAGGCGUGGUGGCUCAGGCCUGUAAUCCCAGGACUUUGGGAGGCUGAGGCAGGCGGAUCACCUGACCUUAGGAGUUCGAGACCAGUCUGGCCAACAUGGUGAAACCCCGUCUCCACUAAAAAUACAAAAAUUAGCCAGGCGUGGUGGUGGGCACCUGUAAUCCCAGCUACUUUGGAGGCUGAGGCAGGAUAAUCACUUGAACCCAGGAGGCAGAGGUUGCAGUGAUCUGAGAUUGCACCACUGCACUCCAGCCUGGGCAAAAGAGCGAGACUCCAUCUCAUAAAUAAAUACAUAAAUAAAUAAAGAAAUCCUUAAUUUCUGCGGAACUGAGUGCUCUACCUUCUGGCUACACCUACGUAUACCUGUAUGAGGUAUAGGCCCUGGAAGCAGCAAACACUUACAGAAAUGGUGAAAUCUUACUAAAGGUAAUCUAAAGUUAUGGUGGAACAUCCCAAAUGAACAACACUGCACUUUAGGAAGUACAUAUAAAAAUGAAGUCUCCCAAUUUAGUAUUAUUCAGGGAUGGCUGUUGAAGUUCAGAAGCUUCUAAAAAGAUUCCAAUAAUUUUACAGAUUCUUUUAAAAGAUUCUUUGUAAAAGGCAAAUAAAAAGCUUAAGUGACUAAUCAGAAAAAUUAGGUCUUCUAACCUUUUGUCAUUGUUACUGUCUUGCCCUGAAAGGGAAAAGAAAGCUGGAUAAAGUAUUUAUAGAAGAUAGAGGACCUGUGGUGGCUCAUGCCUGUAAUCCAAGGUGGAAGGAUUGCUUGAGGCCAGAAGUUCAAGACCAGUCCAAGCAACAUAGCAAGGCCCCAUCUCUACAAAAAAUGAAAAUAAAAUUAGCCGAGCGUGAUGGCUCAUGCCUGUAGUUCUAGCUUCUAGAGAGGCUGAGGCAGGAGGAUUGCUUGAGUCCAGGAGUUCAAGAUUACAGUGAGCUAUGGUCACACCACUGCACUCCAGCCUGGGUGAUGGAGUGAGACUGUCUCAAUAAAAAGACAAAAAGGUAAGCCCUUAGGUAAAGUAAGCUUGCUUCUUUGUUAGAGCUAUCCAUGCUGAGUCCAGGCAAAGAAAAUGCUUUCUUUGGCCUGGUGCGGUGGCUCAUGCCUGUAAUCCCAACACUUUUGGAGGCCAAGGUGGGCAGAUCACAAGGUCAAGAGUUCAAGAUGAGCCUGACCAACAUGGUGAAGCCCCAUCUCUACUAAAAAUACAAAAAUUAGCCA
rnacentral:lncRNA from 1 species